rnacentral:rRNA from 1 species
AUUGAACGCUGGCGGCAGGCUUAACACAUGCAAGUCGAACGAGUGGCGGACGGGUGAGUAAUGACUGGGAAUCUGGCUUAUGGAGGGGGAUAACUACGGGAAACUGUAGCUAAUACCGCGUACCAUAGGAUGAGCCCAUGUGGGAUUAGGUAGUUGGUGAGGUAAAGGCUCACCUAGGCGACGAUCUCUAGCUGGUCUGAGAGGAUGAUCAGCAACAUGGGGACUGAGACACGGCCCAGACUCCUACGGUACGGAGCAGUGGGGAAUAUUGCACAAGGGGCGCAAGCCUGACGCAGCCAGGCCGCGUGUAUGAAGAAGGCCGUCGGGUCGUAAAGUACUUUCAGUGUGGAGGCGUUACCGACAGAAGAAGCACCGGCUAACUCCGUGCCAGCAGCCGCGGUAAUUC